GCUGUUUACAGUUUAUCUCUAUCUAUAAUAAUAUUUAAGAUAAUAACCAAACUCUGCAAAAUUUCCUUCAAAUUACUAAUUUGGGGGCAGCAAUCCAUCAACGGGUUGUCAGAUUUGUCUGAAAAUUCCUGGGCAGAUAGAUCUUCACUGAAGAGACAAUUUCACUAAUGUCAGAUUUGCUCUAAAUGCUUUGGUUUCAGAGUUAUAAGCCAAAAUCUACAUUUUACCUGUAUGUUCUAUUUUUGGCCAUAGUGGCCAUCUCGGUUGGUUGACCGGUCUAACCACACAUUUUUUAAAUUAGAUACCGCAAUGAU
rnacentral:lncRNA from 1 species